UAUUGUGACAUCUACAAUAAUCCAUGCAGUGCUUAUUUGAUAUACCAUUUUUAUUACAUUGUUUCAUAACAAUUAUUUUUUACUAUUGUCUUUUUUCACAUGAAUUCUUUUACUGACACCUACUUAUGUGGAUAUGUGAUGUUUGUCCAGCACUAUUGAUUUUUUUGGUCAAUGUGCUCAGUGAGGCUCAGGAUGGGAUUCUAGAUUUGAACAGCACAACUGACACUUUAGGACGCAUCUUGGACCAAACAAUUAAGUCAACGCAGUUGGAGAGGAAAUGGGAAUAAGGUUUCUAGGGCUUGGCUUAUGAGCACCGAGUGAUAUACCAAUAAUGGCAAAAAUAACUCUCUCCUUUAACCUUGUAAGCUUAUAUCUUUUUGAACUUUGUUUUAUUCCUGGAAUGUUAACUACUGCUCGCCAGACACCUCAAACCAUUAUGCUUCUUUUGACUUUUAAGCAUAGCAUUCUUGAUAUACUUAAAUUUUUAAAUGAGACUUGUUAGUUACCAAGAUAAUGUGUUGAGCACUUUGGGGUAAAUGACUGAUAACUCAUUGUUCAAAUAUGCGUUAGGCAAUGGUUGUUACUAUUUUGUGUAAGACUUGACAGAAACAAUCAUCGGCUUGUAGGGAAGAUACAAAAUAAUGAGGAAUUACAUGCCUAAAGUUGGUACUCUUGGCCUUGAUAUGAUGUUCCUGACAUGUACUGUGCAGAUGAUCAUAUUUCUAGGAGUGCCAUUUUCAUAAUGACAUCACUUAUUCAUUUGGAGUACUCAUCUAAGCACUGAGUUGCUAUCUUAAGGUUACCAAUUUCAUGUUCUUUAAAAACAGAUUACCAAUUGCAUGGAAUUACUCUUUGUAGUGCUUGAUAUUAUUGUAUUGUAUGUACUGAACAGUUGGACAACUCUUCAUCAAAUGAAUUAUCGCCUGACAGUUUUUUGUCAUUUAUUCCCCCAUUCUAAAUUAUAAGAUAUUUAAAAUUUUCUAGAUGCAUCGAUUUAUUAUGUAUCAUACAUAGUGUAUUUUUUUCAGACAGUGUAGGUGCAUAGAAAAAGCUAUGUGUUUAUAAAAGCCAAAACUUCUUAUGAUUUAGAAUGGAGGGAUUAUAGUUUAGAAUGGAGGGAGUAUUGAGUACUAUGUUAACACUUUCAGUUUUUUGCUUUAUUAAAUGCCUUCCUACAAUGAGUUACGGGUCCACCUCAAAUCGGAAAGAACUAAAGAAGACAUGCCACAUUUUCUCAUGCAGAUUGUGUUGUAUGAAUCAACCUAGAAUGAGUCUUCCUGAGACUUAGGUAAAACCUGGACAACAUAUCUAUUGUUCUGUUCAAACUCUUGGUCAUUUUUAACUCAUGUUAACAGAAUACAAAUAAAGGUAAAUUUGUUUCAGUUAACCCGAUUUGUAUUAUGAGCUAACCCAAUUUGCUUAACUCGUGUUAACAGAGGCACAUUGUAUUAUGAGCUAACCCGAUUUGUUUUUUAGCUUUCAGCACUUCCAUAUUCUGCUCAUUGUGUAUUUUUUUUGUUUUCUUAAUACCGUUGUACUAUAUGUCACAACCUUUCAUGCAUUGACCAAUAACUUAGCAUUUGGAAUGGGUUUCUCCUUUCUGUAUCAUUAUGUAUUUAUGUGUACUUCCAGGGAGUACCAUUUUCUUCAUGUUGGCGAUGAAAUGCUACAAUCUAAGUCGCUUGAUCGAGAUUCAUAUGUCUUUGGUGGGUUGUCGGUUUUCUUUACAAAGAUUUGAGUCACAUGUAUGUUGAUGGGUUGGUAUAUUAGCAGGAGAUCAAGAAUGAAACGGUUCUACUGAAACCCCUACAAGAUGCCUUCCACUCUGUGACUCAUCAUUGGGUUCACUCAGAUUCUACUGCCCCUUGACGGAAUGCUUUGCUCUGUUGGUUGAUGAUCCUGAGCAUGGUGAGGCGUUGAUAACAAAUGUGGAGUGCCCACACUGCUGCCGGAUGUUAUGUGCCCAGUGUAAGGUUCCAUGGCACGCUGGUGUCACUUGCGCAGAGUUCAAGUUCCAAUGACCGAGGAAGGAUGAGCAGGGCAGAGAGGACCUACUGCCGAGGAAGGUCGAACAAGAGAGCAAGUGGCAGAGGUGCCCCGAGUGCAAGAUAUAUGUGGAGAGGAUCGGGGACUGUGUAUUUAUCAUUUACAAGUGCGGGCAUUGCUUCUGCUACCUUUGUGCAUCCCCAAUGUCUAGGGACAACCGUUGUUGCAAAACCUGCAAUCAAACCUGGGGAAUGCCUUGAAAUCGCCAAGCUCUCUACUUGAAGAAAAGAAACUCAUAUUAACUAAUAUUAUAUGUGUGAUGCUGGUUCAUUUUCAGAAGCAAUUACCAUUCAUCAAAAAUAGGCUAACACGGUUGUAUAUCAGGAAAAGUCCAUUACAAGCAAAACAUAUAUUGACCUGUAAAGCAAACCACAA